ensembl:lncRNA
UUAUUGCAUAUUAUGUGAACAUUACAAUGUAAUUAAUUUGAUACUUAACAGUUUAUACAAGUAUAACAAACAACAACGAUAAUAAUUAUCUUCAACAUCAACAACUAGUAAUAAUAGUAAUAAGUAGUAAUACUACUAAUUAUAUUAUUGCAUUAUUGCUAGUAAUUACAUUCAUAUUAAUUAUUAAUUUCAUGAAUGUAUUAUUUAAUAUUUAUGUUAUAUAAACGAAAAUAUGGCAUUAUUAACGCAUAUGUAAUUAUCAUGUAGAAAUGAAAGAAAUAAUAAAAUGGUGUAGGGACAAAAUAUACGAAUAGUGUGUACUGUAAGAAUGCACGAUGCACACGUUCAACCUUUUAUUUCACCUUUCCGGCUCUGAAGCCGAGCGCAGCCGAACGCUGGCCGAACUGUGGCGAAGGUGGCGUCAUAUGUUUCCCUCGCUCGCUCGCUCGUCUCUCGCUGUCUGUGAAGGAAGAAGGAAGAGCAAUGGCGACGCUGUAUCGCCGCGCGCUCACACUGCACACAGGAGCCACAACACACACUAUCUUUACUCUGAUACUGCUGGGAAGAAGCUCUUGAAGGGUUCAGAGGUGAUCAAACGCAGUAAAGCAGAUAUGCUUUUGUAUGGUCACGUCCCAACUCAUGAGGAUUUCAAACCCGUCGUUUGCGAUGCCUGCAACAAAGUCGUUAAGCCUCAGGACGUCCUGACUCAUUACGAACACGUGCGCUCGUGGAACGGAGAGGUGUCUCGCUCGGCGGGAGGCAAUGGUAAUGCAUGGAAGGCCCGUUGGCAGCUCGCCCCCUUCCCCUUUCUCUCUCGUCCCCUGCUGCCCCCCUUUGAGAGCGUAGAGCUGCGCGGCAGCUGCAGGGCUGCGAGGGUUCAGCACAGGGGUCAACGACUCGCAGCUAUUCAACUCAAAACACCGCAGCCUAGAAAGAGAAGGCGGGAUGCCUUCAGCCACACAGGAGGCAUGCUAUUCUCUCGUCUUUUUCUCUUUCGCUUUCUGUUUUUUUUCUUCCAUGCUCUCAACCGCCGCGGAGCAGACAGGCUGGGUAAGUGUGUCUCCUCGACCAACGUGUGCGUGUUCUUCACAGCGGACGCUUCUGAACACUCACGUGUUUGCUUAGCUUUCUGUUUUCGCGGUUUUGGGCUCUGUUUGUGA